rnacentral:rRNA from 1 species
GACGAACGCUGGCGGCGUGCUUAACACAUGCAAGUCGAACGGAAAGGCCCCAGCUUGCUGGGGUACUCGAGUGGCGAACGGGUGAGUAACACGUGGGUGAUCUGCCCUGCACUCUGGGAUAAGCCUGGGAAACUGGGUCUAAUACCGGAUAGGACCGUGCUUUAGUGUGUGCGGUGGAAAGUUUUUCGGUGCAGGAUGAGCCCGCGGCCUAUCAGCUUGUUGGUGGGGUAAUGGCCUACCAAGGCGGCGACGGGUAGCCGGCCUGAGAGGGUGUACGGCCACAUUGGGACUGAGACACGGCCCAGACUCCUACGGGAGGCAGCAGUGGGGAAUAUUGCACAAUGGGCGCAAGCCUGAUGCAGCGACGCCGCGUGGGGGAUGACGGCUUUCGGGUUGUAAACCCCUUUCGGCAGGGACGAAGCUUUUGUGACGGUACCUGCAUAAGAAGCACCGGCUAACUACGUG